UGACAAUUUACAACCCAGUGCUAAACAAGAAUGCUCUGUUCUUGCUGGGGUACGACGAAACGGUCAGCGCAACGAAAGAUGGAUACAUCUGGAUAGCGAAAUGUCCAACUGUUUUAAAGUAGAGAUACUUUAAAAGAAGGAUGAACUCCAACACCAAAGUCGUAGCACACUUAUUGUCGCAAGUAAAGGUAGGAUGCGCAUCGCUAGCGUAAUAGACGCUCUAGAUGGAGAAAAAUCUUAGUUAGGCUCAGCUUGGUAACUGGGCAAACCUAAGAAAAACCAAUAAGCUAGUUUGCCGUGAAGCAGAGAAAUCUGUGUAUAAGAUGUGUAUGCAACUCCGAGUAGGUAAAGGCAAAGCAAAUGGAUUUGAGAAUUAUAGUUAAAAAUAAUUUGCUGAAUAGAUGCUGAAAGGUACGGGUAGUCAAUCCCGUAUAGGUUAGUUUCUUCGGGAACAGGGAUAAGAAGUAUAGAGGUCGCUACUUUAUGCUCAGCCUUAUUCUUCCUAUUGACUGAAUAUGCUUGAAGAUAGUAAGAUGUAGAAUGAAGAUUCGUAAAUUG
rnacentral:sRNA from 1 species